UCCGGUUUGUCACCGGCAGUCUCACUAGAGUGCCCAACUGAAUGUAGCAACUAAGGACGGGGGUUGCGCUCGUUGCGGGACUUAACCCAACAUCUCACGACACGAGCUGACGACAGCCAUGCACCACCUGUAUAGGGCCCUUACGGACCUGCCAUCUCUGACAGUUUUCCCUAUAUGUCAAAUCCAGGUAAGGUUCUUCGCGUUGCGUCGAAUUAAACCACAUGCUCCACCGCUUGUGCGGGCCCCCGUCAAUUCCUUUGGGUUUCAACCUUGCGGUCGUACUCCCCAGGCGGGGUACUUCCUGCGUUAGCGCCGGCACCCAGAGGGUCGCUCCCCCAGGCACCUAGUACCCAUCGUUUACGGCGUGGACUAC
rnacentral:misc_RNA from 1 species